AUUGAACGCUGGCGGCAGGCCUAACACAUGCAAGUCGAGCGGAUGAAGGGAGCUUGCUCCUGGAUUCAGCGGCGGACGGGUGAGUAAUGCCUAGGAAUCUGCCUGGUAGUGGGGGAUAACGUCCGGAAACGGGCGCUAAUACCGCAUACGUCCUGAUGGAGAAAGUGGGGGAUCUUCGGACCUUUCGCUAUCAGAUGAGCCUAGGUCGGAUUAGCUAGUUGGUGGGGUAAAGGCCUACCAAGGCGACGAUCCGUAACUGGUCUGAGAGGAUGAUCAGUCACACUAGAACUGAGACACGGUCCAGACUCCUGCGGGAGGCAGCAGUGGGGAAUAGUGGACAAUGGGCGGAAGCCUGAUCCAGCCGUGCCGCGUGUGUGAAGAAGGUCUUCGGAUUGUAAAGCACUUUAAGUUGGGAGGAAGGGCAGUAAGUUAAUACCUUGCUGUUUUGACGUUACCGACAGAAUAAGCACCGGCUAACUUCGUG
rnacentral:rRNA from 1 species